rnacentral:snoRNA from 1 species
ACUGGUCUCUAUCGAAGACUCAUCAGUCAUUUUUCCCCAUUGGCUCCUGAGAUCAAAAAGAGGCCGACAUCAAAUCUUUCUUUAUGGUCGCUGGACAGGAUUUUUUCACCCGGUUCCAGCAUUACCCAAGGAAAGAACAAAC